rnacentral:lncRNA from 1 species
AAUUUUGCUCUGCUCAUGAUUUAAUUGGAAGACAGCUUAGAGAGAGAGAGAUGUUUAUAUAGGGGUGGCCUCACGGGUAGUGUAGAAGCCAUCUGGAGUAGAAGACUCGACGGCUUUCUGAGCGGAAAUAGGGAAGUGGGUGGAGGCCCGUAAGGCGGACAAGUCGGAGGUGCAGGACCAUGUCGGGUCGGUGGGCCGGAUCUGUGCGUUGAGCUUG